rnacentral:sRNA from 1 species
AUAUCUUUCUGUACGGGAAGGAUGAGAAGCUUCGACUAAGGUUCGAUUCGAGCGCAGCGAGAAAGCGUUGCCGUAGGCAACG